GAUAACUCCGGAAUAGCCUUUCGAAAGAAAGAUUAAUACCGGAUAGCAUACGAAUAUCGCAUGAUAUUUUUAUUAAAGAAUUUCGGUUAUCGAUGGGGAUGCGUUCCAUUAGUUUGUUGGCGGGGUAACGGCCCACCAAGACUACGAUGGAUAGGGGUUCUGAGAGGAAGGUCCCCCACAUUGGAACUGAGACACGGUCCAAACUCUACGGGAGGCAGCAUG
rnacentral:rRNA from 1 species